rnacentral:misc_RNA from 1 species
UCAAACUUGGUCAUUUAGAGGAAGUAAAAGUCGUAACAAGGUUUCCGUAGGUGAACCUGCGGAAGGAUCAUUAAAAGUAAAUGCGUAUUCGUAUCGAAUAUACAUAUACAAACCCAUUCCGAGUACAUUACCUGUUGCUUCCGUGGAGCAGUGAUUCGUCACCUCUGACGAUGGCUCUGAUCAUCCGAGGGGAGUCUUCACGGGAGGUACACAUUAAACUCUUGCAUUACCAUGUCUUCUGUCUGAAUCUGUUUAUAACAAAUGUUAAAACUUUCAACAACGGAUCUCUUGGUUCUCGCAUCGAUGAAGAACGCAGC